CCCCUAGAUGUUCUGGGCCGCACGCGCGCUACACUGAACAGUUCAACAAGUCUUAACCUUGGCCGAUAGGUCUGGGUAAUCUUUGAACGCUGUUCGUGAUUGGGAUAGACCUUUGCAAUUAUGGGUCUUCAACGAGGAAUUCCUAGUAAACGCAAGUCAUCAGCUUGCAUUGAUUACGUCCCUGCCCUUUGUACACACCGCCCGUCGCACCUACCGAUUGGAUGGUCCGGUGAGAACUCUGGAUUGCGGUCGCUGUGGAGGUUCGCCUUCGCAUCGCUGCGAGAAGUUGAUCGAACCUUAUCAUCUAGAGGAAGUAAAAGUCGUAACA
rnacentral:rRNA from 1 species